rnacentral:rRNA from 1 species
GGCGGCAGGCCUAAGACGUGCAAGUCGUACGCGAACGACCUUUCGGGGUUAAGUAGAGUGGCGAACGGGUUAGUAACGCGUGGGAACAUACACAGCACAGGGGGAUAACCAUUGGAAACGAUGGCUAAUACCGCAUACGCCCUAUUGGGGAAAGAUUUAUCGGUGUUGGAUUGGCCCGCGUUAGAUUAGCUAGUUGGUGGGGUAAUGGCUCACCAAGGCGACGAUUUAUAGCUGGUUUGAGAGGAUGAUCAGCAACACUGGAACUGAGACACGGUCCAGACUCCUACGGGAGGCAGCAGUCGGGAAUAUUGUGCAAUGGGGGCAACCCUGACACAGCCAUGCCGCGUGAGUGAAGAAGGCCUUAGGGUUGUAAAGCUCUUUCAGAUGUGAGGAUGAUGACGAUAGCAUCAGAAGAAGCUCCGGCUAACUUCGUGC